CCUGUUGCAGGUGGAGCCACUCCCUGUCAAUAGUGUCUCCAUGCAAAUCUCCUGCCUGCUCUUAUAAUCCAUGAGCAGCAUCAGAGUCACAUCUCCAGCCUCAGGAUGAAGAACACACUCACUCUGCUGCUGGCUGCUCUCUCUCUGACAUGUUGUUCAGGUCAGAGCAUGGAGUCCAUUCCUUCCACUGCAGUAGUGAAGAAGCCUGGAGAGACCCUCAGUCUGUCCUGCAGAGGAUCUGGGUUCACAUUUAGUGACUAUGGGAUGAAUUGGAUCAGACAACCUGCAGGAAAACCCCUGGAAUGGAUGGGGGCUAUUUGGAGCGAUGCAAGUAAAACAGUUUAUGCCAGCAACGUUCAAGGACGGAUAGAAAUCACCAGAGACAACAGCAACAGCAUGACGUACCUGAAACUGUCCAACCUGAGGCCAGAGGACUCUGCUGUUUAUUACUGUGCCAAAUACUCACAGUGGUUAAAGUGAACUGAAAGGCUGUACAAAAACCCAACAUGACGUACACACAACAGCAUCUAGGGGGCGGUAUGAGACA